AUUCUCUCAGCUCUGCUCAGUUACACUUGGUGAAGUAGUGUAAUUGUCGUCAUUAGAGAGAGAGAGAAAAUGAGUUCAAUAUGCACGGCAGAGGGACUGUGUGAUGUAGUCUCCCUGUUCCUUUUCAGCUCUACAUGU
rnacentral:snoRNA from 1 species